rnacentral:rRNA from 1 species
UGGCGAGUGGCGGACGGGUGAGGAAUACGUGGGAAUCUGCCCAGUCGUGGGGAUAACGUAGGGAACUUACGCUAAUACCGCAUGCGCCCUUCGGGGGAAAGCCGGGGACCUUCGGGCCUGGCGCGAUUGGAUGAGCCCACGUCGGAUUAGCUAGUUGGCGGGUAAGGCCCACCAAGGCGACGAUCCGUAGCUGGUCUGAGAGGAUGAUCAGCCACACUGGAACUGAGACACGGUCCAGACUCCUACGGGAGGCAGCAGUAGGGAAUAUUGGACAAUGGGCGCAAGCCUGAUCCAGCCAUGCCGCGUGAGUGAAGAAGGCCCUCGGGUUGUAAAGCUCUUUUGUCCGGAAAGAAAAGCGCCGGGUUAAUACCCUGGUGUCCUGACGGUACCGGAAGAAUAAGCACCGGCUAACUUCGUG